GGUUCCUCUUUCUUUCUCUCUUUUGCCGCACUACACUUCUCCCUUCCGCACCUCCGUCUCUUCCACCUUCCCCGCCUCCACCGCGCAGUACACUAAACUUCUCUAUGUCUUCGUCUCGCUCGUCCUCGGCGGCUCCCUUCCGGGCCGCCGCGCAUAAGUCGUCCCCAAGACGGAGUGCGUCAAAGAGCCGGCGGUGGCCGUACUCCGCGGCGACAUCAUUCGACGGCAUCUUAUGAUUCAGAUCUAUCGUGAGAGGCGAUGGCGGCUUCAGAUUCGACCAACACAUCGCGUGUUCUACAUCCAGUGGCGGAGGUGGCGGCAUUGAAGACUUCAAAUCGGCAUCUCUCCCUUCUGAUCCAGCCUUCGAUCUCCAUUUACUGCGACGAAGACGACUGUUACGAUCUCCUUGGAGUCUCUCAAAAUGCUAAUGCCUCCGAAAUUAAAAAUAAUACUGAAAGAUGAAGCCACAAGAGAACAGUAUGAUUAUGCAAUUGCCCACCCAGAGGAAGUAUUCUACAAUACAGCACAAUACUACCGUGCUUAUUAUGGUCACAAAACUG